AGUAACACAGCCAUAUUUUUCAGCCGUUCCUCAUAAGGAAAUGCGGUCUCCUGGACACAUGCGGCGUUUUGCACCUGCACGGCUUUCCCGGGGUAUAUUCCGGUCUCAUCUCAAUCAUAGUUGCAGCGGUCGCGACUGAGGACAUGUACGGCCCAGCAGGCCUGAAGUCUGUCUUUGAAGCUCUUGAACACGGGCGGAGCACAGGCAUGCAGGGUGUCAUGCAACUGGUGUCGCUUUUGUGUACGCUAGUCCUGGCAAUCGUUUUUGGGACUAUCACUGGUUGCAUAACCAGAUUGAAGAUAUUUGAACCUUUAACAAAGGUACACCAGUUUAAUGACGAGCACUUUUGGGAGAUUCCUUAAGACGAAAGUGGAGGACCCGCGCGAAAUCGCCUUUUCAUACAAACGUAUUUUCCUCUCUGAAUAUUGACAUAAUAAAAAUAUUUUGCUAAAUAUAUUUGUAUAACUUGUAUAUUAACCACAGCUAUGCCCCUACGUUUGAUUUUUUCGAAUGUGUAAUUAUUUUAAGAGCUAGGAGCAUUAAAAAAAUUGUAUGAAUCUGUUUUUCGCUCCUACUUUUUGCACUAAUCUAAAAUCAAAUAAAGUCAAAACGUAAGGGCAUGGCUAUGGCUACUAUACUUGAAAUGAUGUAAAACAAUUUUUCAUAAUAUCAAUAUCCAGAGAGGAAACUGGGGACUACGUUUGUAUGGAGAAUCGGCCGUCCCUCUUAAUUUACUUAAAUAGUUCUCUAAUUCCUUGGUAGGAAUUAAAAAUAGGCAACACUUAAUUGCGGGAUCUCAAAAACUGUAUGAUACUAGAUGAUUUUGGGGUCGUGAUCCCGAAUGUCAAAAAUGUGUUAAGAUGGACAUAAUAAACAAAUUUCCCCAUGGGACUAACCACAAAAUCGUGAAAAUAAAUGUAUGUCCCUUAAGGGCCCGAAAUAGACGAAAUGUGUUAAAUGUAUGGGCCCAGGAGUAUAUUUUUGUCACGAUGUUCAUAUCGUUCCAUGGGAAUAUUGUUCAGUGUGACCAUCUCAAUACAUUUUUGAUAUUGAGGAGCACGACCGUGAAAUCUAGGUAAGUUGUUUUUGUCAUGUUCGAAUAAUGAGCAUAUUUUUUGUCAUGGGUUCGAAUAAUGAGCAUAUUUUUCAUCAUGGGUUCGAAUA